AUUGAACGCUGGCGGCAGGCCUAACACAUGCAAGUCGAACGAGGGGCAGACGGGUGAGUAAUGUGUGGGAAUCUGCCUUAUGGAGGGGGAUACCUACGGGAAACGGUGGCUAAUACCGCAUACCAUUGGCUUAGCCCAGGUGUGAUUAGCUAGUAGGUGGGGUAAAGGCUCACCAAGGCGACGAUCCCUAGCUGGUCUGAGAGGAUGACCAGCCACACUGGAACUGAGACACGGCCCAGACUCCUACGGGAGGCAGCAGUGGGGAAUAUUGCGCAAUGGGCGAAAGCCUGACGCAGCAAUGCCGCGUGAGUGAAGAAGGCCUUCGGGUUGUAAAGCUCUUUCAGUGGGGAGGCGUUACCCACAGAAGAAGCACCGGCUAACUCCGUGCCAGCAGCCGCGGUAAUAC
rnacentral:rRNA from 1 species